CAGUUGGAAACGACUGCUAAUACCGCAUAAUGUCUACGGACCAAAGGGGGCUUCGGCUCUCGCCUUUAGAUUGGCCCAAGUGGGAUUAGCUAGUUGGUGAGGUAAUGGCUCACCAAGGCGACGAUCCCUAGCUGGUUUGAGAGGAUGAUCAGCCACACUGGGACUGAGACACGGCCCAGACUCCUACGGGAGGCAGCAGUGGGGAAUAUUGCACAAUGGGCGCAAGCCUGAUGCAGCCAUGCCGCGUGUGUGAAGAAGGCCUUCGGGUUGUAAAGCACUUUCAGUCAGGAGGAAAGCGUGGUGGUUAAUACCCAUCAUGUGUGACGUUACUGACAGAAGAAGCACCGGCUAACUCCGUGCCAGCAGCCGCGGUAAUACGGAGGGUGCGAGCGUUAAUCGGAAUUACUGGGCGUAAAGCGUACGCAGGCGGUUUGUUAAGCGAGAUGUGAAAGCCCCGGGCUCAACCUGGGAACUGCAUUUCGAACUGGCAAACUAGAGUGUGAUAGAGGGUGGUAGAAUUUCAGGUGUAGCGGUGAAAUGCGUAGAGAUCUGAAGGAAUACCGAUGGCGAAGGCAGCCACCUGGGUCAACACUGACGCUCAUGUACGAAAGCGUGGGGAGCAAACGGGAUUAGAUACCCCGGUAGUCCACGCCGUAAACGAUGUCUACUAGAAGCUCGGAGCCUCGGUUCUGUUUUUCAAAGCUAACGCAUUAAGUAG
rnacentral:rRNA from 1 species